UCUGAAAGCCUGAAUCGAUUUAUUCCGUUGGUUGGGUUUUUAUACUGAAACCCAACGGUAACUUCAACAGUGAAAACAAAAUUAUAAACGUGGGUAAAAACACGUGUCCAUGUUUGAUACAUCAACGAUUAAAACAUAAACAGAAAUAAACGGAAGGUAAACGGAAGGCCAAAACUCGUCGUUUCAUUAAAUCUCUUCUCCUCUUUCUCGACGUUGACCAACGGUCUUCCUCCUAACGCCGUGUGUUCUUUGCUGCGUAUAACACCCUCCCACAAGUUGGAGAGUAGAUAUCAUAUACUCCCAACUUGCUCAGCAGCAACUGAAGGCGCGUUCUGUGCAAUGCCUUGGUGAAAACAUCUGUUGGUUGAUCACUCGUUCCAAUGUGCUUCAAAAUAACCAUUCCCGACUUGAUCCUCUCUCUGGUCACAUGAUAGUCUAUUUCGAUAUGUUUAGUCCUCUCAUGGAACACUGGAUUUUCUGCAAUAUAUAUAGCUGACUUAUUAUCACAGUACACUUCCAUAGGCAUAGGAAUUUGAACUCCCAGCUCCUUGAUCGGUUCUGACAACCACUGCAUUUCACACACCAAAUGUGCUAAAGACCUAUACUCAGCUUCAGAGGAUGAUUUGGAAACAGUCCCUUGCUUCUUGGACCUCUAGGUAAUCAGUGAACCACCAAGAUACGUACAAUAACCAAAGAUAGAUUUCCUAGUAUCUAGGCAAGCUGCCCAAUCUGAAUCACAGUAACUAGUCAGUAAUAGCUCAUUCCAUGACUUAUACAUUAACCCUUGUGCUGGUGAUGAUUUCAAGUAUCUCAACACACGAUGAGCUGCCUCUAAAUGCACACUACAUGGCUCAUUCUGGAAUUGACUAAGCUGUUGAACAGCAAAUGUUAUGUCUGGUCUUGUGAUUGUCAGGUAAUGUAACCUUCCAACCAAAGUUCUGUACAUAGAAGGAUCAUCCAAAGGAUCACCUUGUUUUGCACUCAGCCGUAGAUUGACUUCCAUAGGACUCUUACUCCCUUUAGCCUCCAAAAAUCCAGUAUCUGUAAGUAAUUCAACACAAUACUUCCUCUGAUUCAUCACAAUACCAGCCUUUGAACGAGCAAUUUCAAGGCCUAGAAAGUAUCUAAGCUCUCCCAGAUCCUUUAUUUUAAAUUGUUGAUGUAGAUAAUCUUUCACCUCCUUGAUUUGUGAUAAAUCCUUUCCAGCAAGUAUUAUAUCAUCCACAUAAACCAAGAGCAUAACUAGUGAAUGUUCAUUACCCUUGACAAACAGUGAGUAAUCGGGACUGGUUUGUUGAAAACCAUACUUCAACAGAGCACCAGUAAGCUUAGCAAACCAUUGUCUGCUUGCUUGUUUCAGUCCAUAAAGAGACUUUCUGAGUUUCAAACAUGUACCUGGUGGUGCAUCAAGUCCUGCUGGUAUCCUCAGAUACACUUCCUCAUUUAGAGAACCCUGCAACUGGCAUGAACGAUUAGUGACAUGUGAAUUUGUAGCUGGAGCUACUGAUACUGAGGAAUGAGAUGUAUUAGGGUGAUCUGUGGCGAUAGGAGAGUGAGUAGGCAAGGUGACAGGAACAUCAACAUGUAUAUUGGGAGGAACUAGGAUUUCUGACUCAAGAGGGGUAGCUGAAGACAGUUCAUGGGAUUUGAAAGGAAAUAUGUUUUCAUAGAAAACAACAUCCCUAGAUAUAUAUAUAUAUAUAUGUUAUAGGUGGAAAGAUCUAAUAAUUUGUAUCCCUUGAUAUGAGGAGGAAUACCUAAGAGCACACUUUGCCUGGCACGAGGUUGAAAUUUUCCUCGAUUGUGAGAUAGGGUAGCAGCAUAGGCCAGACAACCAAAAACCUUGAUAUGAGUAAGAACAGGGGGUUGAUUGUAAAGAAUUUCAAAGGGAGUCUUGUCCCGGAUAGCAGAAGAAGGAGUUCUAUUUAUCAAAUAUACAGAAUGAAGCACAAAAUCACUCCAAUAUAUCAAAGGAAGACCAGAUUGAAACUGUAAAGCUCUCGCAACGUUCAAAAUGUGUUGGUGUUUUCGUUCUACUUUUGCAUUUUGCUGUGGUGUUCUACUUUGGCAUUUUGUUGUGGUGUUUGGACACAAGACAUUUGAUGUACUAUACCAUGUUCAGAAUAGAAAUCAGGCAUGUGAAACUCUUUGCCUUGAUCACUCCUUAUCAUUUUGACUUUAGUUUUAAACUGUGUACAGACCAUGUUACAAAAAGAUUGCAGCAAGGCUCGGGUUUCUGACUUGUAUUUCAUUAAGUAAAUCCAUACUCCUCGUGAAUAGUCGUCAACAAUAGUGAGAAAAUAUAGGAAACCAUCGUGUGAUUCAGUUGACAACGGACCCCAAAUAUCAACAUGAAUGAGAUCGAAAAUAGCACUGACAGUGGUCUGACUGCUAUGGAAAGGAAGACGUUUAUGUUUAGAGAGAUGGCAAACAGAACAAUGAGACAAAGUUUCAGUAACAAUGUUAUGAUCAUGACUAUGUAAAAGCUUCAAUUUCUCAGCACUAGGAUGUCCCAUUCUCCAAUGCCAGAGACUCAUCUCUUCUGGUUUGUAAUUGUGGCUAACAGCUACUUGAGUUCUGGAAGGAAGGGAUUGAGAAGAAGAUGAUGAAAUGUGUUUGUUAGUAGGCUGAAGGUGAUAAAGCCCUCUAGUCUGAACGGCUAAACCAAUCGUCUUGCCUGUUGUGAGAUCUUGAAGCUGGUAAUUGUUGGAUUGAAAGGUCAGUGAAACAGGAAGAUGAGAGGUUAGCUUACUGACUGAGACUAGAUUAAAGUGAAAAGUUGGGACACACAGAGCGUUAUGAAUGAUUUGGCCAUGAGGCAGUCUAACACUACCAACAUGACUGACAGACAUAGGAGAGGAGUCAGGAAGAUACACAUUGACCCCUAUGACAGACUUAUAGGAAAUGAAGUGUUUAAGAGAGCAAGUUGGUGGCCUUGGAUUACUGGACUGCUUGCAGCAGUUGCUUGAGCUGAGUCAACUCAGCAUUGGUUAAUGAAAGAGCAGCUGCCACUGUAGGGAUUUGUUGCUGAUCUACUGCUCCAGCAAAGUGAUUUGAAGGUGCUGAGCUGUUGUUAGUAUUCUGAGCAUUUUGUUCUUGCUGUUUCUUCCACUUUAACCUUCUGCACUCAUCCAGAAUGUGCCCUUCCUUCUUACAGUAUCUGCAAAACUUCUUCCCAGCUUGAUUAUAGUCUCUGGAAUUUCCAAAACUAGCAGCCAUAACCAUCCUUCCAUCAACUUCAGAUGGUACUGCAAAUGCCACAUUCUGAAUGUUGUUAUCCUUCCCGAUCAUUAUACCACCUUUCAACUUCUCUUCAUGCUGAAGAGCAUGAUCAUAAGCUGAGCUGACAGUAGGCAAUGGUGUCAUCAUAAGUAACUGAGUCCUGAACAAAUGUAACUGAGUCCUGACCACAUCAAAAUCUUCGUUCAGUCCUCUACGGAAUCGAAUUAAGUAAUCAGUAUCUUGUUUCUCCUGGAAUGCUACCACUGCUGCACAAGGUAACACACUAGCUGGUGCACAACUGCAAGGAACUAUAGGUGAGAACUGGCUAUAUUCUUCCCAGAGUCCUUUGAUUAUUGUAUAGUAUUGCGUCACAGACAUUUGUCCCUGUUUACAUCCAUGUAUUUCAUCCUGUAGAUUAGCCAUUUUCAAAGCAUUUGCUUGUCCAAACCUGCGUUUAAGCUCUUGCCACAGAAUUUGAGCAUUUUCAUGAUUCAAUACGCUUCUACGUAUUUCUGGAUGCAAUGAGUUUGCAAUCCAGCAUAGCACCAUAGUGUUGCAAGCAUCCUAAAGGGAGUAUCUAUCACUAGUAGGAGCAGGAGGGACUAUAGAUCCAUCAAUGAAACCCACUUUAUGCUUAGUUUUCAAUGCAAACCUUACGGAUCUACUCCACAUUUGAUAGUUAGAUCCAUCCAGCACUGUAUUAACUAUAGAUUGAGAUAGAUUUUCAUUUGGAUUAAGGUAAUAAGGAUUACCAAAGGUCAGGUUAACAGACGCCAUAGGUGAAGCAUCUCUACUGCGAUGAACAUUUCCAACAGAUCCAAAAACGAAUCCUGAGGUGUGCUGAUGGUUGGUUUGUUCAUCAUCAUCCUGACUUCGAGUCAUUGUUGAGUUUUAGAUCGAUACAACCCGGUCUGAUACUAUAUUAAGAUGAUAGAAGAAUCGAUUGAUUCGUGAGGAAGAAGAAAUGCAAAGGAAAGAAUGCAGAGAAGAAGGAAGAAGAUAAGAAUGAGUCUGAAAGCCUGAAUCGAUUUAUUCCGUUGGUUGGGUUUUUAUACUGAAACCCAACGGUAACUUCAACAGUAAAAACAAAAUUAUAAACGUGGGGAAAAAACGCGGGUAAAAACACGUGUCCACGUUUGAUACAUCAACGAUUAAAACAUAAACGGAAAUAAACGGAAGGUAAACGGAAGGCCAAAACUCGUUGUUUCAUUAAAUCUCUUCUCCUCUUUCUCGACGUUGACCAACGGUCUUCCUUCUAACGCCGUGUGUUCUUCGCUGCGUUUAACAUGCUAAACGGGCUUUCCCAGAAUCCUAACAGCUUCACUACUGAUCCCUCCAUUUUGAAAGUAUGAACUCUGAAAGUCUUGGGGGAGUUAGUGAAGACUAUAAAUAAAGAAACAGAGACAUCGGACAUGGACGUUUCUUAGCGAUCAAGUUUUG
rnacentral:lncRNA from 1 species